rnacentral:rRNA from 1 species
AGCGUAGGCGGAUAGUUUAGUCAGAGGUGAAAGCCCAGGGCUCAACCUUGGAAUUGCCUUUGAUACUGGCUAUCUUGAGUAUGGAAGAGGUAUGUGGAACUCCGAGUGUAGAGGUGAAAUUCGUAGAUAUUCGGAAGAACACCAGUGGCGAAGGCGACAUACUGGUCCAUUACUGACGCUGAGGCUCGAAAGCGUGGGGAGCAAACA